GGGACAUGUGGCAGUUGACUUACGUGGUAACGUGCUCAUGCUUUGGCUCUGGCCAUCACUACUUGGGUGAACAUUGCUGGAAAGAAACAAUAGAGAGAAUUCAAGAAGGUCAUUCAGAGAUGAAGAAAAUGGAGAAAAAGGAGCUUCUAGAGGAGCCCCUCCCACCCCCUCGGCCCUGUCUGCCCCGCUCUCUGAUCUCUUUCCAGCACCUCCUGUCUUCUUCAGGCCCAGAGCUCUUCACUAACAACUUACCGUCUCAGAGAAAAUCUAUUGCAGAGACCAUAAGUUCGUGUAGAGCACAGAACAAGAAGACCCAAGGCGACAGGAAUGAGGAUCACAGGAAGAGGCCUCAGCCCUGAGCCAGAAGAGUCCACGCUCUGAAGCCUCAGCAAGCAGUCAUGCCGGGUGCGGGCAUGAGCCCGUUGGAACAGAGGAUGGGGAGGAGGUGCCAGAAGAUAGGAGUUGAGUUGAUUGAUGUCUGCUGGCCUCGAUUAUCUUGAUGAAUCAGGAGGUGAGAGGGAAUGGUAAUGGAGUAGUUCUGAAGAAAAUCAGACCAGCACAGCCUCGAAAGGAGAGGCGUUUAGGACUCAGCUGAAAGAGGACACCCCUACCCUGCUGGACUUUUAAGCUGAAAGUUUGGUACCCCUUAACCCAACAUGGCAGUAAUAUCAUCAACACUUGUUCAUUCCAACUGUCCCUGUUCUCCUCGGUCUUGUGCUCUUCUCCAUCCCGACAGCCAUUCUCUCAGAACAGGCCCACCGCUUGUCUCAUCAUCUGCAGUGAAACACAGGCGAUCUUCCUGCUCUGUGUCCCCACCCCCACCACACAGGCCUCUAACAAACCUCGGCACACGGCUCCAUGCUAAAAAGUCGUCAGUGACUCCCUUGCCUGUAAGACAGAAGUCAAAUUCCUUUCUUUGAUAUAAGACCGGAUAAAUUGAAAAAUGGCAACAAAAUUUCUCAAUUAUAUAAAUACAUUUUUGCAUA